rnacentral:rRNA from 1 species
UACAGAGGGUGCGAGCGUUAAUCGGAAUUACUGGGCGUAAAGCGCGCGUAGGCGGCUUUGCAAGCCGGAUGUGAAAUCCCCAGGCUUAACCUGGGAACUGCAUUCGAGACUGCAUUGCUAGAGUAUGGGAGAGGGAAGUGGAAUUUCCGGUGUAGCGGUGAAAUGCGUAGAUAUCGGAAGGAACAUCAGUGGCGAAAGCGACUUCCUGGACCAAUACUGACGCUCAUGUGCGAAAGCGUGGGGAGCAAACAGG